GACCGUUCUUUUACACAAUAAAGCGAU
rnacentral:sRNA from 1 species